CUCCCAGAGAGGCCAACCUAACUUCUGAGUCAGAACUGGAAGCUCAGCCCAGAGGAGGAGUUUUUCACACUGCAAACUUUCCUUCACCAAGGGAAGAUGACACUUGAAUUCCCAGCUCUGCUAAAGCCUCUCAAUUUGUUCAUCCUCUGCUAGCUGAGGGAAGAAGAAAAAGGAGAAAGAGAAGAUGGGGAGGAAGAGGAGGAAGAGGAAGCAGAAGAGGAGGAAGAGGAAGAGGAAGAUUCAAAUAUCUUGUUGAAACUAUAAAAAUUAACUUUAUUACAUAAUCAUUCUUGAUUUCCAAAUAUGUAAACUACUGGAUGUAAUAAAGUGGGAUCUAUGCAUUAAAUACUUAUGCUAUAAACCAAAAUGCUAUGCUUGUCUCAGGAAAAUAAUUUGCAUAAACUGAAGUAGUCUCUUUCUUAUGAAAUGUCAUUUUUACUUAAAAGAAUGAGUGGUACACACAGACUGUGUAGUUCAGUGGUAGAAUGUUUGCCUAGCAUUUCAAAUGAGGCCCUGGCCCAGCAUCAGAAAAACAAACAAAAGACAACAAUAAAUGAUAGAGAAACUCUCUUGGAUACUGGAUAGAUUAGGGGUAUUUAGAGGACACUUGGGGUAUUUGAAUGAAAGUCUAUCAUUUCAAGGAAAGCAACUGACAGUAUAUUUCUUUCCUAAGAUAAAAUUUAAGCAUUCUGAAAAAAAUUGAAUUUUUGAAAUCUGUCACUUUAAGCUUGACAGCUUCCACAAAAUCAGGAAUUUUUCUCACGGUAUCUGUGGUGUUAUUAACAAAUGUAACUUUUUUUUUUUUUAACCCAGUGGUGCUUUAUGGCAGAGCUAUAUCCUCCAUUCUUUUUAUUUUAUAUUUUGAGGCAGGAUCUCACAAAGUUUUCCAGGCUGUCCUCAAACUUGCAGCCUCCCCAGUAGCUGGAAUUGCAGGCAUGCAUCACUGUGCCCAGUCAAAUUUAACCUUUUGUUAAUUUGUUGAGAUGGGUUAAUACUUGAAAGAUUUGCAUACUCAGUGAACCAACCCUUACUUUUAAAAGUCAUCCAUUAGUACAAGAUCCAUUCAAUGGGCAUUACAGAUCAACUGAUUUUAAUGUAAAAAAACAGAAAUAUUUGAUAAUAAGGUUCCAGGUUGUAACUAACCUUUACGAAAUUAUCACUUAUAUGGUCUUAGUGUAGUAUCAAAGAUGGAUAUACGUAAUUAUUACAUUGAAUAAACUAUUAAAACUAA